CGGCAGCUACACAUGCAAGUCGAGCGGUAGCACAGGAGAGCUUGCUCUCUGGGUGACGAGCGGCGGACGGGUGAGUAAUGUCUGGGAAACUGCCUGAUGGAGGGGGAUAACUACUGGAAACGGUAGCUAAUACCGCAUAACGUCUACGGACCAAAGUGGGGGACCUUCGGGCCUCACGCCAUCAGAUGUGCCCAGAUGGGAUUAGCUAGUAGGUGGGGUAAUGGCUCACCUAGGCGACGAUCCCUAGCUGGUCUGAGAGGAUGACCAGCCACACUGGAACUGAGACACGGUCCAGACUCCUACGGGAGGCAGCAGUGGGGAAUAUUGCACAAUGGGCGCAAGCCUGAUGCAGCCAUGCCGCGUGUGUGAAGAAGGCCUUAGGGUUGUAAAGCACUUUCAGCGAGGAGGAAGGGUUCAUUGUUAAUAGCACUGUGCAUUGACGUUACUCGCAAAAGAAGCACCGGCUAACUCCGUGCCAGCANCCGCGGUAAUACGGAGGGUGCAAGCGUUAAUCAGAAUUACUGGCCCUAAAGUACACCCCGGCGGUUUGUUAAUUCANAUGUUAAAUCACUCCCCUAACGUCGGCCUGCAACUGAAACCGGAAAGCU
rnacentral:rRNA from 1 species